GCCCAACUAGCUCAGUUGGUAGAGCAUGAGAUUUUUAAUCUCAGGGUCAUGGGUUSAAGUCCCAUGUUGGGCG